CUGGGAUCUCCCGCUGGAACUCCAGCACAAAUACAAUGGCUGGUUAGGCGAAAAAUUGCCAAUACUUUUUGCUGAAUAUGCAGAAAGAUGCUUUGCUUUAUUCGGAGAUAGAGUU
rnacentral:sRNA from 1 species